rnacentral:rRNA from 1 species
UACGAAGGGGGCUAGCGUUGUUCGGAUUUACUGGGCGUAAAGGGCGCGUAGGCGGCCAUCUAAGUCAGACGUGAAAUCCCCCGGCUUAACCUGGGAACUGCGUCUGAUACUGGAAGGCUUGAGUAUGGGAGAGGGAUGUAGAAUUCCAGGUGUAGCGGUGAAAUGCGUAGAUAUCUGGAGGAAUACCGGUGGCGAAGGCGGCAUCCUGGACCAUUACUGACGCUGAGGCGCGAAAGCUAGGGGAGCAAACGGG